ACUGUACUAAACUAACUAAAGUGGGGGAUAGUGAGGGGAUAAAUUUCCUUAAGGAACUCGGCAAAAUCCCAAUGGCCCACCAGGGCAUAUAUUGGAACACGGGCCUCGACUGUUUACCAAAAACAUAGCCCUCGGCCAAUAUGAAAAUAGAAGUAUGGAGGGUGAGGCCUGCCCAAUGGUUGUAUCUAAAAGCGGUUGAUAAAAGUCGACCGCGUAAGGACAAUUGAAUGGCCGCGGUAACACUGACCGUGAUAAUGUAGCGUAAUCAAUAGCCAAUUAAUUGUUGGCCAGUAUGAAUGGCGCCACGAAGGCCCCACUGUCUUAAGGAAAUUCCCAGUGAAAUUGAAUUCGUAGUGAAGAUGCUACGUCCAAUUUGUUAGACGAAAAGACCCCGUUGAGCUUUACUGGGGCACUUACACGGCCCCGGCCUUCAAGACUGGGUUGAUAAGCCAAGGCUUACCAUACCUAGGGACCGGCCGAAUUUAAAUGGGCGGUUUAGACUAUGUGGCAGCCCCCCCCGUCGGGGCAGAUGAAACCCCACUCCCCCAUGUCAAAGGGGCUAACCCCCCUCCUUGGGGGGGACAGUGUAAGUAGGACAGUUUGGUUGGGGCGACCGCCUUUUAGAGAGUAACGAAGGUGCGCUUAAGGUGCGUAAUUAAUGACUGAAGCCUGACUGCGAGGGGGACACCCCGAGCAGACACCCCCAAGCCCGCCCUCUGGGAGGGCGGCGGUGGGGUGGGCCAUAGUGACCCGUUAAUUUAGAGUGGAAUAGUUAACGAUCAACGAAUAAAAGUUACCACGGGGAUAACAGCGUAAUAUCGUUAGAGAGUUCACAUCGACGACGAUGUUUGCGACCUCGAUGUUGAAUUGCGG
rnacentral:rRNA from 1 species